AGCAAUUAUACGGCGAAACUGCGAAUGGCUCAUUAAAUCAGUUAUCGUUUACUUGAUAGCCCCUUACUACUUGGAUAACCGUGGUAAUUCUAGAGCUAAUACAUGCUGAAAACCCCGACUUCGGAAGGGAUGUAUUUAUUAGAUUAAAAACCAAUGCCCCUCGGGGCUCACUGGUGAUUCAUGAUAACUUCUCGAAUCGCACGGCCUUGCGCCGGCGAUGGCUCAUUCAAAUUUCUGCCCUAUCAACUUUCGACGGCUGGAUCUGGGCCCGCCAUGGUGACAACGGGUAACGGAGGGUUAGGGCUCGGCCCCGGAGAAGGAGCCUGAGAAACGGCUACUACAUCCAAGGAAGGCAGCAGGCGCGCAAAUUACCCAAUCCCGACUCGGGGAGGUAGUGACAAUAAAUACUGAUACAGGGCUCUUUUGGGUCUUGUAAUUGGAAUGAGUACAAUUUAAUUCCCUUAACGAGGAACAAUUGGAGGGCAAGUCUGGUGCCAGCAGCCGCGGUAAUUCCAGCUCCAAUAGCGUAUAUUAAAGUUGUUGCAGUUAAAAAGCUCGUAGUUGAACCUUGGGCCUGGCUGGCCGGUCCGCCUCACCGCGUGCACUGGUCCGGCCGGGUCUUUCCCUCUGGGGAGCCGCAUGCCCUUCACUGGGCGUGUCGGGGAACCAGGACAUUUACUUUGAAAAAAUUAGAGUGUUCAAAGCAGGCUUAUGCUCGAAUACAUUAGCAUGGAAUAAUAGAAUAGGACGCGCGGUUCUAUUUUGUUGGUUUCUAGGACCGCCGUAAUGAUUAAUAGGGACAGUCGGGGGCAUCAGUAUUCAAUAGUCAGAGGUGAAAUUCUUGGAUCUAUUGAAGACUAACUACUGCGAAAGCAUUUGCCAAGGAUGUUUUCAUUAAUCAGGAACGAAAGUUAGGGGAUCGAAGACGAUCAGAUACCGUCGUAGUCUUAACCAUAAACUAUGCCGACUAGGGAUCGGACGAUGUUAUUUUUUGACUCGUUCGGCACCUUACACGAAAGUACAAGUUUCUGGGUUCUGGGGGGAGUAUG
rnacentral:rRNA from 2 species